GUUUCCAUUUGCAUGAUUGCUGCUCAGCACAAACCCUCCUGUGGAUUUGAUUGCUGCUCGGCACAACUUUUCCUGUCAGGACAGUAAUGUUGCUCAGCACAACUUUUCCUGUCAGGACAGUAAUGUUGCUCGGCACAACUUUUCCUGUCAGGACAGUAAUGUUGCUCAGCACAACUUUUCCUGUCAGGACAGUAAAUGCCAUUAACCACAUUUUUAUGUUCGGAUGAAUACAUGACAGUUCCCUCCAACCCAGGUGGAGGUUGGCAUACGAGGGGACACAAGCCGUCCCCGUAGCUGUCCCUCUCACCUUGUGGUAAUAUUUCCCCUGAAAUAGGAAGUAAUUAUGCAUGAGAAUGAAAUGCAUCAAUUCCUAUACCAACUUAUUAUGUCUUGUAAACGCUGCU